rnacentral:rRNA from 1 species
GAUGAACGCUGACAGCAUGCUUAACACAUGCAAGUCGACUUGAACUUCGGAUCGUGUGGCUGACGGGUGAGUCACGCGUAAAGAACUUGCCUCACAGAUUGGGACAACAUUUGGAAACGAAUGCUAAUACCUGAUCUUAUGAUUAUAUGGCAUCGUAUAAUUAUGAAAGCUAUAUGCGCUGUGAGAGAGCUUUGCGUCCCAUUAGCCAGUUGGAGAGGUAACGGCUCACCAAGGCGAGGAUGGCUAGCCAGCCUGAGAGGGUGAUCCGGUACAAGGGGACUGAGGCACGACCCUUACUCAAACGUGAAGCAUGAGUGAAGAAUAGAGGACAAUAGGCCAAGAGUGUGAUGAAGCAAUUCUGUGUGCAAAAUGAAGUUAUUCGGGAUGAAAAGUGCUUUCAGUUUAGAUUAAUAAUAUGACGGUACCAACAGAAUAAGUGACGGCUAAAUACGUG